AGAGACAGAACAAGAGGUGGAAAGAGAGGGGAGAGACAGAACAAGAGGUGGAAAGAGAGGGGAGAGACAGAACAAGAGGUGGAAAGAGAGUGGAGAGAGAGAACGAGAAAUGGAAAGAGGGAUCUUUGAACAGGUACCAGGCCUCUCAGGGGGGAGGGGAAGAGCUCUACCAACCGCCCUCCCAUCUGUUAGGCAGACGGAGAGAGAGGGAGAGAGAGAGGGAGAUUCAGCACUCUCUCUGUUUCAGAAGUGGAGCUGGAAUGAUGAUGGGAACUUGUACAGAGUUAUCCCAUCUCCUCACUUCCAAGUGUUAAGUCACCAAAAAUGAAUAGACAGCAUGUGGGCAGAGUUUCUUCCCGUCCUAAGAGACAUAUAUAUAUAUAUAUAUAUCCUAUAGGGUGUUGCUUGUUAAUAUGGUGUUGCUUGUUAAUAUGGCUUUGUCAUUGAAAACACAGAGGACUGCACCCGAGAGAAUCAAAGAGAGGAGGAGAGAGAAAGGAGGAACAUUAUCUAGGCUGGUCCUUAGUUCUAAUUCCUCUCUUUGAAAGACAGCUGCAAGCUUUUGAGAGAGAGAGAGAGAGAGAGAGAGAGAGAGAGAGAGAGAGAGAGAGAGAGAGAGGAUAGAGGGAGAGAGAGAGAUCACAGCAGCAAGAUUUGUGACCUGUUGCCACGAGAAAAGGGCAACAUUGUAAAUACAACCCAUAUUUAUGCUUAUUUAUUUUAUCUUGUGUCCUUUAACCAUUUGUACAUAGUUAAAACACUGUAUAUAUAUAAUAUGACAUUUGUAAUGUCUUUAUUGUUUUGAAACUCUUGUAUGUGUAAUGUUUACUGUUAAUUUGUAUUGUUUAUUUCACUUUAUAUAUUCACUUUAUAUAUUAUCUACCUCACUUGCUUUGGCAAUGUUAACACAUGUUUCCCAUGCCAAUAAAGCCCUUGAAUUGAAA